ACACGACCGUACCGCAAACCGACACUGGUGCGCGAGAUGAGUAUUCUAAGGCGCUUGAGAGAACUCAGGAGAAGGAACUCGGCAAAUUGACACCGUAACUUCGGAAGAAGGUGUGCCUUUAGUAGGUGAACCUGUACAAGGGGAGCCCAAUGAGGUUGCAAAAAAUCGGUGGCUGCGACUGUUUAAUAAAAACACAGCACUCUGCAAACACGAAAGUGGACGUAUAGGGUGUGACGCCUGCCCGGUGCUGGAAGAUUAAAUGAUGGGGUGCAAGCUCUUGAUUGAAGUCCCAGUAAACGGCGGCCGUAACAAUAACGGUCCUAAGGUAGCGAAAUUCCUUGUCGGGUAAGUUCCGACCUGCACGAAUGGCGUAACGAUGGCCACACUGUCUCCUCCUGAGACUCAGCGAAGUUGAAAUGUUUGUGAUGAUGCAAUCUCCCCGCGGAAAGACGGAAAGACCCCAUGAACCUUUACUGUAGCUUUGUAUUGGACUUUGAACAGAUCUGUGUAGGAUAGGUGGGAGGCUUUGAAGUGUGGUCGCUAGAUCGCAUGGAGCCAACGUUGAAAUACCACCCUGGUGUGUUUGAGGUUCUAACCUAGGCCCGUAAUCCGGGUCGGGGACAGUGCAUGGUAGGCAGUUUGACUGGGGCGGUCUCCUCCCAAAGCGUAACGGAGGAGUUCGAAGGUACGCUAGGUACGGUCGGACAUCGUGCUAAUAGUGCAAUGGCAUAAGCGUGCUUAACUGCGAGACUGACAAGUCGAGCAGAUGCGAAAGCAGGACAUAGUGAUCCGGUGGUUCUGUAUGGAAGGGCCAUCGCUCAACGGAUAAAAGGUACUCUGGGGAUAACAGGCUGAUACCGCCCAAGAGUUCAUAUCGACGGCGGUGUUUGGCACCUCGAUGUCGGCUCAUCUCAUCCUGGGGCUGUAGCCGGUCCCAAGGGUAUGGCUGUUCGCCAUUUAAAGAGGUACGUGAGCUGGGUUUAAAACGUCGUGAGACAGUUUGGUCCCUAUCUUCCGUGGGCGCUGCAGAUUUGAGGAAGCCUGCUCCUAGUACGAGAGGACCGGAGUGGACACACCUCUGGUGUAUCGGUUGUCACGCCAGUGGCAUUGCCGAGUAGCUAUGUGUGGAAGAGAUAACCGCUGAAAGCAUCUAAGCGGGAAACUCGUUUCAAGAUGAGAUCUGCCGGGGCCUUGAGCCCCCUAAAGAGUCGUUCAAGACCAGGACGUUGAUAGGUCGGGUGUGGAAGCGCAGUAAUGCGUUAAGCUAACCGAUACUAAUUGCUCGUGCGGCUUGACCA
rnacentral:rRNA from 1 species